ACACAAGGAGAGUCAUCUGAGAAGAGGGAACCUCAAUUGAAAAAAGAAAAAGUUUCCAUACGAUCAGCCUGCAGGCAAGCCUGUGGAGAAUUCUCUUGACUGACGAUUGAUGUGAAGACCUGAUCCUCCUGUGGGUUGUGCCACUCCUAGGCUAAUGGUCCUGAGGUGCAGAAGAAAGUAAACUGAACAAGCCAGAAGUAUUAAGCAAGUAGACAGCAUUCUUCCCUGCUCUCUGUCUCAGUUCCUGCCCCGCAGGUCCUGCCUAGGCUUCCCUCAGUGAUGGACUAUCGUCUGGAAGUGUCACACGAUUACCAAGUGAUCGUGUAUAAACAAGAGGGUGUUUUAUGCUGAUAAAUGGACUCCCACUGUCGCAUACGGCCCCGGGAGUCUGCAUUAACAACAAGCUGAGACAAAGAAGAGAACAUGGCAUUCAUUUUAACAGUGGGCAUUUAUCAUUGGUGACAUUACCUGAUACGGCUGAUAAUCUAAAGCAUUACGACUUCUGAACAAAAUCUGAUUCAUAAAGACAUAUAAGGAGAUAAACCAUGACAACUAAUAGGAAUUUCCUGGACUGCUGCAAAUGGAAUAAUCUUAUCUAUAUUCAUCAGCUAGCCAGCUCUCUCCUCCCACUAAAAAGGAGACAAGGUACAUUCACAACUCCUAUUAGUGCUAAUAGCGGCUUUAGAAGCAAAUACCUUGUUCCUCCACAGGAAAGGACACCAGCCCGCCUUUGUUCCAAUAUCCUGCAAUCUUGUGUCAGUUGGAGUUAAUUGGUGGAAAUCUGGGAUACAAGCAAUUUGGAACUAAUCUCUAAAAAUGAUGGCCAGGGCAGCUGACAGUAGCAGUGACUGGCUCCAAAGCAGAUAGGGUUUUCUUUGUUGGCCUGAAGCUCUGCCAUCAACUUGUUUUCACUUCUUUCACCAGCCUCUCUGGACAAACUGCACAGGAAGGCUGUGGAUAAGGAACAAUCUCAGGGAUUCAUUCUUGCACGAUACAAUGGGCCUCUGAGACAGAAGAAGUAAAUUUGGCCAUUCAUCUAGUUUGUGGAGGUUGGCAAGUAGUUUUGAUAUCUCUGCAUCCUUACUUCGUCUUUAGUCAUAUCAAUCGUCCACCUAGGUGUGCUAGUACCUGCCUGUAACCCCAAUAUUCAAGACAUUGAGACAGGAGGAUUAUUGAGUUUGAAGCCAAUUAUACUCUAUAGGAAAAC
rnacentral:lncRNA from 1 species